UGAUCGCUCCCAGUCUGUGCUGUUGGGCAGGUCAGGUUUAGAAGUAGAUACAGAAGCUGCAGAAGUUGAGAAGGCUUAAUACCCAAAGUAAAAGUUUUAAAAUAUGCAUGUUGGGCAGAGAGUAUCCUAGCGACUGGACAGUUCAUUCUGGUUUAUCCAGAUACUUGAUAUUAGAAGGGAAGAGAUAUGUGUUAUUAUCUUUCUAUUUGAAAUCUACUUGGGUUUAGUAUUCUGUGGGUUAAAUAUGUUUCUAAGGUGGGGAGUUAGGACUCUCUCCUAUGGGGCGAUAACACAGGUUGGUAUUUGGUUGUCAGUUUCAUGUUGGCUACCACGCCUUAAUGUCAUUAGUGAUUUCAUCCUAUGGAAGAAUAUCUUGAUUUGUGAAGAGAAUAUCUGUGUGUGCCUCAUUAGUUAGGAGGUAUGGGGUGAACCCGGGUUGUUUAUUAUGAUAUAAAUUGGGUAAGCUUUUAAUAUAAAAUUGAGUUAAUGGGUGCUCAGCAAAAAUGUGCUUUGAACGCUUAAUCUGCAAAAGUGUUUCAUUUGCAUUUCCCACUGAGUCUUAUUGCUCAUGUGUCUUCUGAGAGAAUUCAUAAGCAUGGGACAGCACUGUUGCUAUCAAUAAAUAUUAGAUCCAUCUAAUAUAAAUUUUACUGUUGCCAUCCAAAAUGAAUUUUGUUAUUCAAAGAUUGGAGAGUUUUAAAAAGUUGAUUAACUUUACUUUAACCAUUUCAAUAUAUGUGUAUGUAUCAUACACUCAUACAUAUUUUAUAAUAUACUGUUUUUAUUAAAAUAAUAUACUUUGAAUCAUUUAAACCUAAAUCACUUGAUAUCAAUUCUACAUGCAAGCUUUUCUUUCUUCCUAAGUGAAAGAAUGGCAUCCCUGAGAUACUUGCUAAUAUUUCUUCCAGAUGUGGAUAUAAUCUUUUUUCGCCAAGUUAUGAAUAUUUACUUCUCACAUAGUGUUUAAUAUGGGGAGAUGGAAAUAUUUUAACUUGCCUAUGCUUUCUGUAAUCUUUCUAACUACAGGAGCUAUGAUGACAUCAUCCUAAACCACAUCCGGUAUACAGGUUGUUUCUGUUAAUAUGCUAAUAAUGGUCAAUGUAUCUUAUCUUCAGAAAGUCCUUUUUUUCCUGCAAAGUAGGUUCAUUAGGUUCUAACUGUUUAAACCAAUGUAAGAACAUGCAUUCUCUUGUAAUCUUUAUAUCUUCUUUAAAGUAUUCUUAAUCAGUAAGUUCUGCUUAGACAUAAUACAAAUAAUAUUGUAAUGGGAUUAAAACCUCAGAAUUUAUUUCUUUUUCCUUUUCUUAUAUUUCACAGUAAUUUUGUUUAACCCCUGAAGGAAAUCAGUGCAUAAUCAGGCUUCUCCAAUAUUACACAAUUUUGCAUUCUCUUGAGAUUUCUGACUCAAUACACUAAAUGCUAAUGUCUUGAUACAGUACAAGUAAUUUCAAUUUCUAUGAUUGGAAUAAUUUGCUUCUGUUUCAUUUUGUCACCAUGUUUUUCUUCUCUGGACUUAAUUGAGCUAUGGCCCCCAACUUUAGUGCAUUGCACUCGAGCUGACUUGGUUUCAGAGCUGGGUUCUAAAGGACAACCUCCAAGAAUGUAUUGAGGAAGUCAACUUUCACAGUGCUAUGAGGAUAGAACGCAGUUCUUAUAUGGUCAGUGUUAAUAACGUAGAAAUUUAAAAUCAAAAGUCUGAAGUGUAAGGCCCCUGGCAAUGAUUCAGCUUUUAUUCUUCAAGGUCUGUUUCAUAUCACUUAAAGUUAAAGGUUUGCAGAUUCAAACUUCAAAUUUGAGUUUCAACAAAAUGAAAAUUAGGAUUGGAAACCUGACUCCCCCGACUAGAAUCUUAGAAAUUUUUGAGCUGGUCUGAAAUGUCUUCCUUGGGAGAGAUAUCUAGAUCAUAUUCCUAUCCAUAUCUAAAUCUGUAUUUCUAUAUCUACACACACACAUAUAGAUGUACAUAAAUAUAAUAUAGAUAUUAUAUGAAAUGUCCAGUAAGCUAGCGAAACUUUUGAUUAUGGAAUCCAUGAUCAUGCUAAAAUCCAAGGAUGCAGGUUUUCACCAUACAUAAGGGAAGACCCACAUAUACUUGUUGAAUCAGUCCCUUUUUCCUCUGAAACAUGUUAGAUAAUACUAGUCUAGUCCAGCUGUUACUUUAUAUAGGAGACAACUACAAUCCAGUGAGGUUAACUGACUUGUCAUAAGACAAAUGUAACUAGAAUCAGAAGCAGGAUCAAAACCUAAGACUACUGAAUCCUAUACAGUGCUUUUCCUGCUAUAACAUACUUGUAUACAUCUUCCUUAAUAUUGAGAAAGGGAAUAAAGGAAAAUACAAAUGAGAAGUUUCUGAAUUCUUGAGUCUUACCCUGAAAUGGCUGUUAUUACCACGUGAAAUAUUUGUGGCAAAUGUAUUUAAAAGAAAUAAAAUCAUAUAAUAGGCACAUAAUUUCUACAAAGCUUGGACUUCAAUCCAGGCAUGGGACCCAAGCAUGGGAAAUAAAUGAGCUAAGCCAGACCACUGAACUUUGUCAUAGGUUAGAGGCAAGAGUAGGACAAAUGCAAGCCAAGUGGUCUCCUCAGCCCCUUUCAAACCUCUAGGGUCUGCACUGAAUUUUGACCAAAUGUAACUUACAUUCAAUCAUGAUGAAUGUCCAGUUCAAGUAGAGUCCAAUGAUGAAGCCCGAUGGGAAAGUGACCCCUCCGUCCUAGGCCUCCUGCCUCUUUCUUUAGACUAUGACAUUGCCUAAGCAGAAACAGAACCUGGACUCUUUGAUCAGUAGCCAAAUAGAGGAUUAAGGAAAAAAGGAAGCUAAAGUGCAAACCACACAUGAAAAAUUAAAUUACCAGAGCCUUCAUUCUUUCUAGUUACAAAUAAUAAAGGCUGACAGGGUUAUCCAAAUGCAAAUUGCUAAACUCUUCACUAAGAUUGUACCAUCUAGAAAAUAUGACCCACCAUAUACCAGAGAAUUAGCCUCUUUUUUUUUUUGGGGGGUGGAGAAGUGAUGGGGAGGAGGCACAGAGUAGAAGUUUGAAUUUCUUUUUGGCAGCAUUGAGCUUACACAUUGUCCUCAGAAAGCAGUGAUACCUCAGUGGUACCAUCAUGGAACAUGUUCUCCACUGUGAUUUUGUAUAUAGUACAUUAGAAAGUACUUCUGAGUCUAUUUGAAUAAGAGGGCCCAUAUUAAUAUUGAGAUAAAGCAGUAUUGCCUUAAUAUUUUCAUCUCUGAUGCUGAUGAGAAUUAGACGUAGAUUGGAAAGGGGUAAGAGAAACAAUUCUCUGAUUUGGUUUCCAAUUUUGAUAAAGUCUUAUUUUAAAAGAACUUUUCAUUGAAAUUCAAGACUUAGGACACAAAAGCAAUUUUUAAGGAGGAUUAAAAUCACUCAUGUAAUUUUAAUAUAGGGAUUUGAAAUUUUGCAUAUAUCUACUCAUUAAUAAGGGGAAAGAGAAAGAACACCCAAGAUUAAUCAUUUCAUACUUUAGCUUGUAAUCUUUUCAUAUUGAAUUUUAACAUGUGCAGGGUCCCCUGUUGGGCAUUGACUGAGAGGGUGGGAAAGUACAAGAUAAACAUUAACAUCCCCUCAAUAAGCUUACAUUCUAGUAAAGGAGGCUACUUACCAAACAAGAGAGCAGGAAUAAUGCUGGGCAUAGGCCCAAGCCAUGGCCUGUAGAAGCACAGGUAGAAUGGUUCAUUCUGGAAAGGACUCCGGGGAAGGUUUAAUUGAAGAAAAAAUAGCUGGAUAGGAUCUUGGAAUGGGAGAAGGGUAUCCCAAAUUGAGAAAUCCAGGAAGACAAUUCCAGGCUGAGCAAAGAAAUUGAGCUGUGACUCUAAGCAUAGACAGGGACUUGGGUAUGGCUUGUAGCACAUGGUUCUAAGAACUUUAAAAUAAAAUACGUGGUUGGAUAGUUACUUGGGGUUCAACCCCAGAAGUGCACACUUAUUUUCUAACUAUUAAAGAGCAAUUGACUCAAAGAUUUCAAUUUGAGGGAGCAAGUGGGACAGAUCCAUGUUUUAGGUAGGUCAACCUGAGAGUAGAUGAAGAUGAAUUCAGAGGUAAGAAAGUGGAAGCAGAGAUACUAGCUGUGCCUUUGUAGCAAUUCAGAUGGGAGAUUAGAAGGACAAAUCCACAAAAUUCCCUCCUCAAUAAAAUAUAUGGGGAGAACUGUCCAUUUCCAGUUUUUCCAGAAGUUCUUAUUUAAUAUGAUAGCCAUGACCUGCAGUUCUUUGGAAACAACAUAAUUAUACUGUAUUUCAGAGCAAUGUUGUUUGGGUUUAUUAAAUAUCUUUCUAAUGAGAAAGGAAAGAAAUGCGGAAUACACAGAGAUCAUUGCUAUAGGUAUAGUUGUUCCAUUUGUGGUAGGAACUUAUAAAUUUGGAUAGAUUUAUCGAAUAUCUUACAAGGCCUUCAAUUAUUGUAAGCUUUUUAUUUUGAAAAAUUUUACACACAAAACAAGGUAUAGAAAAUGGUGUAAUGAUUGGUCAUAUAUCUGUUAUCUAGCUUCAGUAAUUACCAAUAGUUUGCCAUUUGUUUUCACAUGGCUUGCAUUUAAGAAAUAUUUCUUUAUUGUCUACAGUAUGUCAGGCACUAGGGUAGGCUCCAGAAUGCAAUUCUUAGUUGCAUAAGAAGAAAAAGAAUGCAAACAAAUAAAAAGUAAUACUUCAUGGUAAAUAGACCAGUACAAGAAAAUCCAAGAAGAAUGUAAAUUAGUUAAGUCCAGGUAGAGGAAAUGAAAGCAAUCAGAGAUGGCUCCAUGGUGGAGGUGACCUCUAAUCCUGGUUUUAUGGAUGAGGAGAAGUGUCUAAGAUUGGUAAGCAAGAAUGGUGCUUACACAAAUACAGUAUGCAAAACAUUGGGUGAGGUAACACCAUGAACAAGCACAGGGCCAUGAUAUACCACGUGAAAUUCCUGGAACAACAAUAAAAAAGCAUGAGAGGAGUUGACAGUUUUAUUCCUUCUCCUUGAUUGUACAAUUAUCCUUGCUGCUUAGUACAGUGCUUGGUGUAUGGAAGUUACUGAAGAAUUAUGGCCUUCAUGCCAUUUUCUUCCAUGCAGGAAUAUUGCCAGUACUCUUCUACUUAUCCCACAUAAUAAAUAAACUCCAGUAUCACUUUCAGGUUUCCAUAGUAGCCUAAAAACUGUUGAUUCAUUGAUUAAGAUUUUUGUUAUAUAUAUUAUUUCUGUUAGUAACAGUUCACAUCAAAGUCCCCUUGCAAGGUGAAGAAACACCAAAAACAACUGUUUGCUAGAACUACUGACCCAGGGACACAAUUUCAAUUAAGAUAACCAACAAUGAGCUGCAGAAUCCCAGCUUAUAUGAUCUCUGGUUUGCUAGAAAAGCAACACAUUCAAUUCUGUAACUGGAAAAACUGCUAAGAUUUAACAAAUAUGUAUUACUGUGUCGAAGGGAAGGGACGAUAGUCAGGUGUUUUACUGCCUUCAAGAAAUGUUCAGUUGGUUAGAGGCCAGACAGCUCAUGAAUAACUAAUCCAAAAUGAAAAAGUCUUUUGAGAGGGAGUGAGGCCUUUAGAAAACUCAAGGACAAGACCAUGUAGAAGAUUUUUGGGAAGGCUGCAUGAAGAUGGUGACAUUUUAAAUCUCAAGAGUUGAGAGAGCCAAGACUUUGACAAGCAAAGACUAGAAACUAAAAGCAGAAAUUUGAACUAUAUUUUUAAAAGACAGGCAGUUUCCUGAAAUCAUUUUUGUAACCAGUUUGGCACUAAAAAUUUCAUUAAUUAUUUAAAAUACCAAGUUUCCGCUUGGACCUGGUAAUGCGCUUGGUACUGAUUAGUUUGGGGAUGAUUAUUUUCCAGCUCUAAUUAUUUUUACUUACUUUGGAAACCUGUGCCUCACCCCAUCUGGAAGAGGAGAACUACAAUUUUAAGUGGACAGUGAGAAGAGUGGAAGGGGAAUGGAAUUUAUACUUAUCAUACCCUCCAGCCAAAAACCAUCAGGAAACACACCUGUGGUCGAAUAAUUUUUGUUUAUUGUUCAUUACAGAGAGAGAGAAUACACACUGCAGAGACAUGUGGAAUGUCUCAGAGAGUGUUAGACAUAUUACAGGGUUUGAGCUCAUUUUGGGGCCUUUGGAGACGGUUUAAGGGAGCAAGUCAUUGAUCUGGACAGGAUGCUGUCAAGAAGUCAGAGUCAUGCUGUGAUUGGGUUCUUACUUGUAUCUACAAGUAGGGAAGACUAGACAGAGGCGAAAGCUGUAAUAGGUAAAGAAGCAGCAGCUACUCAUAUUAGCUGGGAUAGGGGAUAUUUUAUUAUUUUUGUGGUUUAAAGUUCAUGUCUGUCCAGAUGCAGUGGCUCAUGCCUGUAAUCCCCGCACUUUGGAAGGCUGAGGCGGGUGGAUCACCUGAGGUUGGGAGUUCAAGACCAGCCUGGCCAACAUGGUGAAACCCCAUCUCUACUAAAAAUACAAAAUUAUCUGGGCAUGGUGGCACAUGCCUAUAAUCCCAACUACUUGGGAGGCUGAGACUGGAGAAUCACUUGAACCCAGGAGGCGAAGGUUGUGGUGAGCCGAGAUUACACCACUCCACUCCAGCCUGGGGAACAAGAGUGAAACGCCGUCUCAAAAAAAGAAAGUUCAAAAAGGUUCAUGUUUUCGCCUCUGUUCAAACAUGAUUAUAGAGGGCUCUUGUUGUUGUAUUGAUCACCCAUGGGUCUGCAGUGGUGUUUUCUGAUGUUCAUAUUCUGUGAAAUGAUUUAUAAUCAACAAGAAAACACCAAGACCUAACUAAUAAACCACUUAGCUCCUUCCAGGGACCCACAGGUGCUUUUGUCUUUCUCUCACAUAAUAAGGCAGAAGGCAGAGUGAGACUAGAAAGCAGUUUAGGUCCUAAUUCAGUAACUAUGAACAAGUUACUUAAUCCUCCCAAGCUUCAAUUUCCUUUUCCGUGUAAUGGGGCUAAUAAUCCUAAUCUUUGAAGAGUACUAUAGGGAAUACUAAAAUAUAAGCGGAAUAUCUAGCUCUAUUCUUCAUCCACAAAUAGGAACCAGUAAGUGUCUUUCUUGUAACUGUGUUGAAACGACAGGUGGCACGUUCCAAUUUCUUGAGUUUGACUAGCUGUUCUCUGAAGAAUGCUUCAGAAUAAUCUGGCUGAUCUGUUAGAUACAGAUUGUUGGGCCCAACCCAUGGAGUUUUUAAUUCAUUAAAUCUGAGGUUGGGGUCUGAGAAUUUGCAUUUCUAAUGAGUUCUUACUUGAGGAUCAUGCUGCUGGUCCAGGGGCAUGGAAAUUGGAAACCAUUGAGUUAGGUAAUAGAUCGGAAAGGCCAAACCCAUAGUAUCUGCAAUAUGUUCUGCACCGACUUGUCUGACACCUGCUGAGCUUAAUUCUCAAGCAGUGGCCAGCCAGCUUUUUCAGCAGUAAACAUUUUAGAUUUUGUGGGACAUGCAGUCGGUCACAACUCCUCAACUCUGUUGUAGCACAAAAGCAGCCAGAUAUAAUACACAAACAGAUGGGUGUGGCCGUGUUCUGAUAAAACAUUGUAGAUGCUCCAAUUUGAAUCCCAUACAGUUUUCAUAUGUCACAAUAUACUUAGGUAAUGUCUGCUUUUUAAUCCAUUAUUUUACAUGUAAAACAAUGCUUAGCUGGCAGAUGAUACCAAAACUGGCAAUAGACUAGAUUCGGCCCGCCACUGUAAUUUGCCAACCCUUGUUCUAGAGUUGGCAAUAAAGGGAAUCAUUGAGAAGUUGAGAAGGGGAUCUCAGGUUGAUGACUUAUUGUCUUUUUGGAAACUUAGCUAGAUUUUUCUGUGCCUUCUGUAUUAUUGAGGGGAUGGAGGGGUCUAGUCUCUUUUUAGGGGGUUGGUGGAAUUGUCUGCCAAAUUGUCAAGUGAUUUGAAUUAGCAUAUAUGUGUUUGUUCAAUAAAAUGCCUUCCUUUUCCCUAAUUUCGCACCACUGGACCAACUUAGAUGGUUGUUAUAUAAAUUAAGCCAUCUGCCUAGUAUUGUCAUACAGUGAGUCAAUGCCAGAGUGCCCUGGCCUAUUGGUUUUCGUUUUAGGUAUUAUCUCAGAAAAGUUGGAAAUAUAUUCUUUUUAUUGUUUGUCAACUCUAAUUUCAUAGAUUUGUUAAAGACUCAUUUCAAUGUUUAAAAUUACAUUACUAUUCAGACAGUUGCACUACAUUGAAACUUUUGAGUCUAGGACACAUACAUUCAAUCAACAAAUGUUAAAAAAUAAAAUAAAAUCACCUAAAGUCUAUACUCUUAAAAAUAAAAGAUAAGUAGUGGAUAAGAUCAUGGCAUUUUAAGAGAGACAGACUUGGAAUUCAUUUCUAGCUAUUCCUUUUUACUGGCUGUGAUCUUGGACAAGUUAGAUAACUGCCUGAACCUCAAUUCUCUCAUUUGUAAAAUGGAAUAAUAGUCACAGCUACCUCAUGGCAUUAUUUGGAAAUUUAAAUUAAAUGAUACUUGUUAAAAUUCUCCUUAGCACAAUGCCUAUCACACAGAGCUCAAUAAAUAUUGGGAUUUAUUUAUUUAUUUAUUUAUUUAUUUUUGAGAUGGAGUUUUGCUUCUUACCCAGGCUGGAGUGCAAUGGCGCGAUCUUGGCUCACCGCAACCUCCACCUCCUGAGUUCAGGCAAUUCUCCUGCCUCAGCCUCCUGAGUAGCUGGGAUUACAGGCAUGCGCCACCAUGCCCAGCUAAUUUUUUGUAUUUUUAGUACAGACAGGGUUUCACCAUGUUGACCAGGAAGGUCUCGAUCUCUUGACCUCAUGAUCCACCCACCUUGGCCUCCCAAAGUGCUGGGAUUACAGGCGUGAGGCACAAUGCCUGGUCCAUACUGGGUAUUAUUUAUAGUGUUAACUUCAUUACUCUCUUAUCUUUGCAUAGUAAUCAUACCUAUUAGCAUAAUCAUUUACUCAAUCAUCCAGGAAAGAAAAGUUUUCAAAUGUGAUCUGUGUCCCAAGAGCUGCUAGUCAUUGAGAACAUAAAGACAUAAUUUUGGCUAAGUUGGGUUUAUAUAUGAAUGAACAUACCAAUUAGUUUAAUAAACUGUCGGGGCCUCACAUCUAUGUAGACUUUAGAGGGACAUAAAGGAAAGACUAACGAAUUCUGUUUAGAAAGUGGGAAGCAUCAGAAAGGACUAACAGAGGUGAUCUUUGAGCUGAAUCUCAGCCACACAUUUAGCACACAGCAUCAAGCAGCCCUGAGAACCACUGCCAAUUGAUAAAACCUACUUUAGCAUUUCCAAGAAUACCUCAUGUUGAUCUCAGUUUCUAAUUGCUGGCUUAUAUUAUUCCCAGAACUCCUUCUCCUACACAAAAGCCACCCUUCUUUCCCCAUUUCAACUUUAAGUGAAACCCAUCCUCUCUUUAAUACCACCCGUUCUUCCUGAUCUGAAUUCCUUUACUCAUGAGGUAUGUGGUACAGCAAACACAACACUUAAUAAUAAACCUUGAUGCACUAUCCCUCAAAUCACCGAAUUUGUGUUCAUUCAUGUUCUCUCCAUCUGAACAAGAGAGAACACUCUACCUCAGCAGUGUUAAUUUUCCCUGUAUUUCCACAGUGUCCAGCUACAUGGCGUGUUAUAAUGCCUCAAUGAUACAGGCAUAACACAGAGAUACCUUGUGUUCUUGCAUUUCACUUUGUUGUGUUUUGCAGAUAAUGUGCUUUUUACAAAGUGAAGGCUUGUGGCAGCCCUGCUGAGCAAGCCUUUUGGUGCCAUUUUUCCAGCAGCAUGUGCUCACUUGGUGUCUUUGUGUCACAUUUUGAAAAAUUUUACAAUAUUUUAAACAUUUUCAUUAUUAUAUCUGUCAGAGUGAUCUGUGACUAGUGAUCUUUGGUGUUACUAGAGAAAUUUUUGUACUACAUACAUCAGAAGUAAUUGAAUUCAGAUUAAGAGCAUCAUGAACCACAACUAUAUAAUAUCGCCAACUUAAUCUAUAAAUACUGUGUGUGUUCUGACAGCCACUGAGUGGCUGUUCCCCAGUCUCUCUCCCUCUCCACAGGGCCAGCCUCUCCCCUGAAACACAAUAAUAUUGAAAUUAGGUCAAUUAAUAAUCCUGCAGUGGCCUCUACAUGUUCAAGUAAAGAAAAAAGUUAUACAUCUCUCACUUUAAGUCAAAAGCUAGAAAGUAUUAAGCUUAGUGAGGAAGGCGGAUUGAAAGUCAAGACUGGCCAAAAGCUAAGCCUCUUGUGCCAGUUAGCCAAAUUGUGAAUACGAAGAAAUCGUUCUUAAAGGAAAUGAAAAGUUGCUACUUCACUGAACAUGUAAAGGAUAAAAAAGCAAAACAGCUUUAUUGCUGAUAUGGAGACAGUUUAAGGGAUCUGAAUCGAAAAUCAAACCAGCCAUAACCUUCCCUUAAUUCAAAGCUUAACCCAGAACAAGGCCCUUAAGCGCUUCAUCUCUGUGAAGGCUGAGAGAGAUUAGGAAGCUACAGAAGAAAAGUCUGAAGCUAGCAGAAGUUGUUUCAUGAGGUUUAAGGAAAGAGGUCAUCUCUAGAACAUGAGUGCAAGGUGAAGCAGCAAGUGUUAAUGGAGUAGCUGCAGCAAGUUACCUAGAAGGUCUAGCUAAGGUGACUACACUAAGCAACAGAUUUUCAAUGUAGAUGAAACAACCUUCUAUUGGGAGAAGAUGCUAUCUAAAAGUUUCAUAGCUAGAGGGGAGAAGUCCAUGGCUAGCUUUAAAGCUUGGACACGCUGACUCUCAUGUUAGCAACUAAUGCAGCUGAUAACUUUAAGUUGAAGCCAGUGCUCAUUCCGUUCCAACCUAGACCUCACCAGAAUUCAAUUCCAUCCCAACAAACUGCUUUCUUUGCCCAUCUGGAAGAAGUUACUCAUUUGUCCUAGUUUGAUCAUGAGAUUGUAAUUGUUCAGUUAAAUAUUUAGGCUUCACUUUUAAUUCUAGUUCUCUUGCUAUUUCCACCCCACAUUUGCAGUUACUUCCUUUACUGAAUUAUCGAACCCCUCACAUUCAUAAGAGUUGAAGUCAACUUUUUGGCCAACUUAAAAAGUAUGCUAAGGCACUAUGUCUGUGCUCUGUAAGUGGAACAACAAAACCUGAAUGACAACACAUCUGUUUACAGCAUGGUCUGCUGAAAAUUUUAAUCCCAUCUUUGAGACCUACUGCUCACGAAAAGAUUCCUUUCAAAAUAUUAGUGCUCAGUACAAUGUGCCUGGUUGUUCAGGAGCUCUGAUGUAGAUGUAUAAGAGAUUAACAUUGUUUUUAUGCCUCUGAACACAAUAUCCAUUCUGCAGCCCCUGGAUCAAGGAGUAGUUUUGACUUCCAUAUCUUAUUGUUUAAGAAAUACAUUUUGUAAGGCUAUUGCUGCCAUAAAAAGUGAUUCUUGUGAUAGAUCUAGACAAAGUAAAUUGAAAACCUUCUGGAAAGGAUUCACCAUUCUAUAUGCUAUUAAGAACUUUCACAAUUCAUGACAGGAGGUUAUGAAUUGUGUUAAAAUAAAACUAACAGGAGUUAGUGUUAAAAUAACACUAACAGGAGUUUGGAAAAAGUUGACUUCAACUCUCAUGAAUGAUUUUGAGGGGUUCAAUAAUUCAGUACAGGAAGAAACUGCAAAUGUGGUGGAAAUAGCAAGAGAACUAGAAUUAGAAGUGGAGCCUGAAUAUUUAAUUGAACUACUAUCUCAUGAUCAACCUAAAACAAAUGAGGAGUAGUGGCUUCUAGAUGAGCAAAGGAAGUGGUUUCUUGAGAUGGAAUUGACUCCUGGUGAAGAUGCUAUGAACAUCAUUGAAUUGAUAGCUAAGAAUUUAGAAUACUCAUAAACUUAGUUGAGAAAACAGCAGCAGGAUUUGAGAGGAUUGAGUCUAAAUUUGAAAGAAGUUCUACAAUGAUUAAAAUGCUACCAACAGCAUUACAUGCUACAGAGAAAUCUAUUGUGAAAGGAAGAGUCAAUCAACCAGGCAAACUUUAUUGUCUUAUUUUAAGAAAUUGCCACAAUUACUCCAACCUUCAGCAACCGUCACUUUCAUCAGUCACCAGCCAUCAAUGUUAAAGCCAGAACUUCCACCAGCAAAAAUAUUCUCCUUGCUAAUCUUUUUGCAAGAUUGCUGAAAAAUCAGAUGAUUGUUAGCAAUUUUUAACAGUAAAGAACUUUUAAAUUACAGUUUGCACGUUGUUUUUCAAACAUGCUAUUGCACACUUAAUAGACUACAGUAAAGUAGAAACAUAAUUUUUAUAUUCACAGGAAAACCAAAAAAAGGAAAGUGUGACUUGCUUGAUUGUGAUAUUUGUUUUAUUACAGUGAUCUGAAACAGAACCCACAUUAUCUUUGAGUUAUGAUUGUGUUUAUCAGUGGGUUCUUCAAUUUCAUCUUUAAUAGAUUGACCUUUGAAAUCAAUAUACUUGUCCUUUUAAAUCCAUAUACUUUUUAAUCAAUAUACUUAUUCAAACUCAUCCCCAUACUGGGAAGUAUAUCUUGACUUUCUUGGACAGAAAAGAGAGGCUCUAGCCCUGAAACUUCUAUGCCUCCUCUCUCUCUCUCUCUCUCUCUCUCUCUCUCUCUCUCUCUCUCUCUCUCUCUCUCUCUCUCUCUCUCUCUUUUUUUUUGUGACUGUCUGAUGCUCUAGUGCCAGAAAACUCCCCAUCAUUUUCCAAACACUCUAUACUCUUUCAUCUCCAUGCCUUUUUCUGAAGUAUGAACUCUCUUCCUUCUAGAACAUAUCUCUCAGGUUAUCACAUGAUUCUGAUUAACUCCUUCUUAUCCUUUAAGCUCAAUUUAGAGGUAUUUUUUCCAGAAAGACUCCCUUGUACCACCUAGUUAGAACAAGUGCCCAUUUCAUAGCACUUCAAAAUGCAUUAAACUCUUGAUGUCUAUGUCUUUCUCUUUUGCUAAAUUUCAAGUAUUACUUACCUUUCUCUCCUCAAUGCCCUGUUGGAGUGAGUGAACUGUUAGGUAGAUCAUGGACAGGCAAGUUUAUUCAGAGGUUCUGGUAAUAUAUUAGACUACUCAGAAUUUGUACAACAGGCUUGAAUUAAUUUAUUAAUAAUUUUUAAACAUUUUGUUUUAGUCAGGGAUUCUCAACCUUGGAUACUUGGGGCCAGAUAAUUCUUAGAGUUGCGUGCAGCUUUCUGCACUAUAGGAUGAUUGACAGCAUCCCUGGUCUCUAACAGACUAAAUGCCAGUAGCACCUUUUCUGGAGUUGUGACAAGCGAAAGUGUCUGGAGGCAAAUGUCAAGUGGGUGCAGGGCAGGUGAGAGCACUCCCCGCCACCCUCAUUGAGAACUAUAGAACUGAGGUAUAAGCAAACACAAUUUGUAAGCCUUUAUAUGUACAUACAUUCAUAAAUUACAAAGCUAAAUUUAAAUUGGAAAACAUCAAAGCAGUGAAAAUUAUUGCAAACCAAACCUGAGUGUUGGGAAGUAUAUGAUUUUCUACUACAAAGGUAAUAAACAAUCUUUGAGGAAAAUCGAUAAAUAGAAAGAAAAAAAGAAAUAUGAGGAAAAUAGCCCCAGUCUCAGCAUUCUAAGAACAACCACUGAUAAUAUGUUCAUUUGUUUAUUUUUAGUUUUCUUCUCCAUGUAUGUUUGAUCUCUUAAACUUAAUAAUAUUGUAUUACUAUAAAAUUUUAUAUAGAUUUAAAUUCAAUAUUAGAGCAUAAGUAUUUUUACAUUAGAUUACAGAUUUUUCAUAAAUAUUUCAAUACCUAUAUAAUAGUUUAUAAAUGUGUAUAAUAUAGUUUACUAAUCCUGAUUUUAGAAUAAGUAGUUUUUUUUGUAUUUGGAAAAUUAUAUAAUAAUCUGUGUGUGAAGUUGCUUAUAUAUUUAGAAUUAUGUUUUUAGAAUGGAGUCACAGAGUUGAAUUAAUGGGACAAGAGAAUGAACUGUUUCAAGUCUUUCGACACACACGGCAAAUUUGCAUUUCAAAAGGGUCACGCAAAUUUACCUGUCCCACUGUCAUGUGGGAAGUAACCAGUGGUUUGGGCUUUCUGCAGUGUCAGGACAUGCGGUUGACUAGGGUACACUUUGCAGGUGAGCCCUAAAGCCAUGCUGGCAAGCUCAGUGUUAAUGGGCAUUGGUGAUUCCAAGAAACUUUGUCUUAGGACUGGAGUGCUAAUGGCUUUCAAACCAAUAUUAGGAAUUUUAAUUUUCUGUAAGUAUGAAAUUUCCACUGGAGCUUGAAAAUAUUUGUCCUCUUCUCUCUUGUUGUCAAUCGAAAUGGAGUCCCUAUAGAAAGGGGCUUACACUUUUAUCAAUUAUCACCUCCAUUUUAACCAUCAAGCCUGGUACUGAGCAGGCAUUAGAUUAUUCAUUGAAAAAAAACACGGCAUAUUUUUGUACCAGAUGAAGUAUUUCCGGGUCUGUGUACUUAGGAGGAAAAUUGGCAUGCAUAAAAUUAUUGCUAUGCAUAUUCAAAUAAAUAUUUCCAGAGACUUAGUAGUAGAUGUAUUUUACUAGAUGAAUUUCGGUAGCAGGGAGGCAGUAGAGAGUAUAAUAUCUCUUUCAUAAGAGGCAUGCCCAUGUUCAUCUCAAGGAAAUGUGUAGGAUAUCUUGUUUAUGUGACAAAGUGUGAGACCAAUAACCAUAGAUAUUUUGAGCAAGAAGACAUGAAAGGUCAUUCAAACUCCCCAAUGAUAUAGGUCAUGAUAAAGUAAUGAGUUGCCCAGAGUCCCUUUGUGACUUAAUGGUAGAACUUAGCUAUAGAGGUAGAAUGGUAGUAAGGUUAGGACAUACUGAGCUUUGGAGAUAGACAGGUCAAAGUUUUCCAGAAAGCUUGCUGGCUGUGGUCCUAUGCAAAUCACCAAACCUCUCUGAACCUCAGUUUCCCUACUCAUAAGAUGAAAAUUAUUAUAAUACCAACUUCACAGAGUGCUUCUGAGAUACAGAAUAAUUUUGAGACAAGCCACAUAUCUAGUACUCACUAAAUAGUAAGCACUCAUUAAAAUUGCCUAGUAUUGUAACCCAGAUUUUCUAAUGGUUUCUUUGGUGUGCCUUCUUCAUACAAAACUAUUGGUAGGAAGGAUCCCAAACAUUAUGAACAGAGUUGCCAAAAAUAUAAUUUUCUUUAUGCUGAUUUUGAAUAUUUUUCUUUUGUAACUUUUAAUAAGCUUAGUUCUGUUACAUGUCAGAUAGUCCACAGGUAUUUUUUAUUUUUAUAGAUAACAAAAUUUCUUCAAAUUUUCUAAGUAACUUGUCUACAUUGUGAACUAGUAAACAGUAGAAUUGGAAUCAACCAGUCUUCUAAAGUUAGAGCUCAAGUUUUUUCUAUGCUAAUCUUCCUUUUAGUACUAACUUUUUUUUUUUUAAUUUCUAAAUCUGUAUGGUAAGUGAAGACACACUCUGAGGUACCUGGAUUAGUAAGAUCAGGAUAGGACAUUUAGAAUCAAAUACUUUUCCCAGACAUCUAAUUGAACAGAAUUAAGGAUACGUAACUUUGUAUGUCUGCAAAUGCAUAGUUAUUAAUGGCCUGUCACAGAAAUUCUCUAAUGAAUAAACAAGAAAAUAUUGAAGACCAGAUAGCAGUGAAGUAAUUGCUGAUGUGAUUCCAAAUUGAAACAAAUUACAGGGGAAAAUGCAUAAUGACAAAAUAAUUAGAAGACUGAGGCACCUGAACAAAUAUCCAAAUCCUACAUCUGUUUUCACAAUAUUCAGCAAUCCCUAAGUAUUUCUGGUGCAUUGAGGUUGGAAUUAGCAUAAACUUCUAAACAUUACUUGAGUAAAAAGUCAGAGUUAACUUUUUCUUGUUAUUGUAAAGUUUCAAGGAGACACAGAGGGAAUUAACCAGAUGCAUUUCUUCAUGACAACAGAGGUUGUAUAGCUAAAGUGCUCUUUGAAAAUGUACCUCAUUAAGAAUUUGCACAGACAAGAUUUUAGACUAAAAGUUUAAUGCUCAAAAUAGUAAGCUAGUCUCAGUAUUAUUAUAUCUCUCUUCUAUAAUGCAUCAACAGUAAAACUAACAUAGAGCUUAGCAUUUACAGCUAUAUUUAAGAAAAAACACAAAAUCAGCAAAGAAAUUCUAUAGUUGCAAAAUUCCUUGUAAAGUUCAGAGUUGAUCUGCCUAGCUAAUAUAUUUCAAAUACACACAUUUUGCAGUAAUAGGAACUAUUCUUGUAAAUAGGUGUCUAAAAUGAGUGGAGAAAUCUUUCCAUGAAAACAAAUCUACUCACUCUCCACAUUCCAGAGAGACCUGAAUGUGUCUAUUCUUCAGGGCGCAACUUAAGUCCUGGAAUAAUUAUUUAAGGAAAUUUGGCCAGUUUCUUUGUAAAAUUGCUAAGAUUGGAAGUAGAGGGAAAUUUUACAACUGGGAAGGGCUGCAUUGAGACCUUGUACCAUGACAGUUAUACCAUGAGUUAUCUCCCCUUAGAGAACAUAUUUGUUUUAUUAUAAAUGAUGUCGGUGGUUGGAUUUCCUUAGGGUGUCAUGGUCUUCAGUCUUGGACUUGGCUUAUGUGUUACGUGAAGACCACAGAAACACUGCUAGUGUAUCAAAAGUAACAUGGACUCUGAGAUAGCAAUGGUAUUGUUUUGAGGCCACUCCCAGAUAUUGGCAGGAAUAUAGGCUAGGAAGUGAAUCCUUCUAUUUAUUCUUUCCUUCCUUUGCUUCUUCUCGAGCCUUCUUCUAAAUAUGGAUGAGGACUAUCUUCACACUUAGCUAUGGUGGAAAAGAGUAGAAGCAAAUCCCAAGCAGAAGGUUAAAAGUUAAACUUAAUUACAUUCUUAUUGCCUUCUCUCCAUCUUUUCUUUGGUUAAAUAAAAUUAUUUAAAGUUUGUCUUGAAGGAAAGUAAGCAACUCAGAGAAUUACCCCCGUCCUGAACCCAUACACUACUAGCCGAUAUUUGUUUAAUGUGUCUCCUAAUUAAAAAAAACUCUCCAAAACAUUUUCUAACAUAAUAAAGAAAUCUUACUCUGUAGGUGAAAAUUAGGGGCCUUGAAAUUGCACUUGGAUCUGUCCUGUCUCAUCACCAAUUGCUCCAUAUUAGCUCUAGUUUUUCUUCAAAGGCUAAGAAAAUUGGAUAUUUUAAAUAAGCCAAAGAUGAUUAUUUUCCUGGUACAGCUAAGCACGUUAAAUAUAGUCAACAUUCACGAUGCUGCUGCCUAAGGAAAAUAAAUGUAGUGAGCAACAAACAGGCUUAACAAAUGGCUCAGGAUAAUUUUUGUGACAGAAGCUUAAUCCUGAAUAGCUGGAGAAAUCAUCAGAAAAGUGGAUGAAGGCCAGGGUACUCAGUUAAUUACCACCUCCUCUCCCCACCAAAAAAAUAUCUUGCUCAGCUUCAGGCUGAAGUGUAUUUUCUUUGAAUGUUGCCACAGUAAUACCUUUAUUCUCUAAAGAGAAUAUGGAUUGCAACCAUAAAGAAUGAUGCUCUCAGAAUGAUUAAAUAUUUGAACCACAUACUUCAACUAUGGUUCGAGUGUGCUUUUUACCUUCAUGUCAAAAUCAAAUUUCCAUUCCCAUCAAUGGAUACUGUGUUCAGGGGUUGACUGCAUUGUGGGCAAGGGUGUAAGUCAGAUGUGGGUUUGAAUUCUUGUGCCACCAUUUAUAUAAUCUGUGUUCUCUGCUGAGUGAUUUCAUUUUCCUGAAAUUCAAGCUUCUCUAUGUAAAACAGCAACUGAUUUUCAUAGGAUUGUACCAUGACAGUUAUACCAUGGGUUACCUCCUCUUAGAGAACACAUUUGUUUUAUUAUAAAUGGUGUCACUGGGAGAACUUCCUUAUGGUACCAUGGUCUUCAGGCUUGGACUUGACUUAUAUGUUACGUCGAAACCAAAGAAAUACUGCUAAUGUAUCAAAAGCAAUAUGCACUUAUACAUGGGAGGGCUGAGGAAGUCACAUGUAUAAAUAUGUAAAAUAAUUAUGGGUUCUAGAACAUGAAUAAAGCCUACCAAUGGCAAUUCUUUCAUAGUGUAUAAUCAUCAAUAUUCAACUGUUUUUAUAUUUAGAGUAUAAUAAGUUUGAAAUCCAUAGAGUUCUUUUUUCUUUUUUUUUUUUUACUAUUCUUUUUUCUUUUUUAUUCCAUUUUAGGUUUUGGGUACAUGUGCAGAACGUGCAAAAGAGUUGCAUAGGUACACACAUGGCAGUGUGUUUUGCUGCCUUCCUGCCCUUCACCCACAUUUGGCAUUUCUCCCCAGGCUAUCCCUCCCCAGCUCCCCCCACCACUGUCCCUCCCCAUUCCCCCCCAAUAGACCCAAUAGAGUUCUUUACAAAGAUUUUAAAGACCGCACUUUUGCCACAUCUAACCAAAAAAUGUGCAGAGGUUGGCAACCAUCUUUUUUUUCCCUUUUUUACAUUGAAGAAAUAAAACAAAGCUCAGUGAGCUGUUAAGCAGAGGGUAGAGAAUCAACUUGCCCCUCUGCUCCAGCACUCUCUCCAUGCUCAUUCUUGUAUAAUUUUGCCCACUUGUUUGCCUUCCCUGAAAUCACCAGCCUGCUCUCCUAUAUCCAUCUGAACUUAGUUAUCCUUAAAAGGUCUAGUGCCCUCUUAUUUAGUUUUAUUUUUAUUUUUUUGAGACAGUCUUGUUCCAUCGCCCAGGCUGGAGUGCAAUAGCACAAUCUCAGCUCACCACAACCUCCACCUUCUGGGUUCAAGCAAUUCUCCUGCCUCAGCCUCCCGAGUAGCUGGGACUACAGGCACGCACAACCAUGCCCAGCUAAUGUUUGUAUUUUUAGUAGAGACGGGGUUUCACCUUGUUAACCAGGAUGGUCUCGAUCUCUUGACCUUGGGAUCCACCCACCUCGGCCUCCCAGUAUUUUUCUUUUUUUUAAAUUGUACUUUAGGUUCUGGGGUACAGGUACAGAUCAUGCAGGAUUGUUGCAUAGGUAUACACAUGGCAAUGUGGUUUGCUGCCUCCAUUCCCCCAUCACCUACAUCUGGCAUUUCUCCCCAUGUUACCCAUCCCCAACCUCCCCACCCUCCUACUGUCCCUUACUUCCUUCCCCCAACAGGACUCAAUGUGUGAUGCUCCCCUCCGUGUGUCCAUGUUUAUCACCCACCUAUGAGUGAGAACAUGUGGUAUUUGAUUUUCUGUUCUUGUGUCAGUUUGCUGAGGAUUAUGGUUUCCAGAUUCAUCAAUGUCCCUACAAAGGACACAAACUCUUCAUUUUUUAUAGCUGCAUAGUAUUCCAUGGUGUAUAUGUGCCACAUUCUCUUUGUCCAGUAUAUAGUCAAUGGGCAUUUGAGUUGGUUCCAUGUCUUUGCUAUUGUAAACAGUGCCACUAUGAACAGACGUGUGCAUGUGUUUUUAUAAUACAAUGAUUUAUAAUCCUUUGGGUAUAUACCCAGUAAUGGGAUUGCUGGGUCAAAUGGAAUUUCUAUUUCUAAGUCCUUGAGGAAGCAUCACACUGUCUUCCAUAAUGCUUGAACUAGUUUACACUCCCACCAACAGUGUAAAAGUAUUCCUAUUUCUCCACAUCCUCUCCAGCAUCUGUUGUCUCCAGAUUUUUUAAUGAUUGCCAGUCUAACUGGCUUGAGGUGGUAUCUCAAUGUGUUUUUGAUUUGCAUUUCUCUAAAAAUCAGUGAUGAUGAGAAUAUUUUCAUAUGUUUUUUGGCCUCACAUUUGUCUUCUUUUGAAAAGUGUCUGUUCCUAUCUUUCUCCCACUUUUGGAUGUGGUUGUCUGUUUCUUGUAAAACUGUCUUAGUUGUUUGUAGAUUCUGGAUAUUAGUCUUUAGUCAGAUGGGUAGAUUGCAAAAUUUUUUCUCAUUCUGUUGGUUCACUCUAUUGAUAGUUUUUUUUUUGGCUGUACAGAAGCUCUGGAGUUUAAUUAGAUUCCCAUUUGUCUAUUUUGGCUUUUGUUGCCAAUGCUUUUGGUGUUUUAGUCAUGAAGUCCUUGCCUAUACCUAUGUCCUGUAUGGUUUUGCCUAGGUUUUCUUCUAGGGUUUUUAUGGUGUUAGGUCUUAAGUUUAAGUCUUUAAUCCAUCUGGAGUUAAUUUUAGUGUAAGGUAUCAGCAAGGGGUCCAGUUUCUGCUUUCUGCACAUUGUCAGACAGUUUUCCCAACACCAUUUAUUAAACAGGGAAUCCUUUCUGCAUUGCUUGUUUCUGUCAGGUCUGCCAAAGAUCAGAUGGUUGUAGAUGUGCAGCAUUGCCUCCAGGGCCUCUGUUGUGUUCCUUUGGUCUCUGUCUCUGUUUUGGUACCAGUACUAUGCUAUUUUGAUUACUGCUUCCUUGUAGUAUAGUUUGAAAUCAGGUAGCGUGAUGCCUCUGGCUUUGUUCUUUUUGCUUAGAUUGUCUUGGCUAUGUGGGCUCUUUUUUGAUUCCAUAUGAAGUUUAAGGUGUUUUUCUCUAGUUCUGUGAAGAAGGUCAUUGGUAGCUUGAUGGGGAUAGCGUUGAAUCUAUAAAUUACUUAGGGCAGUAUAGCCAUUUUCAUGAUAUUGAUUCUUCCUAACCAUGAGCAUGGACUGUUUCUCCAUCUGUUUUUGUCCUCUCUUAUUUCCUUGAGCAGUAGUUUGUAGUUCUCUUUGAAGAGGUCCUUUGCAUCCUUUGUUAGUUGUAUUCCUAGGUAUUUUAUUCUCUUUGUAGCAAUUGUGAAUGGGAGUCUGCUCAUGAUUUAGUUCUCUGUUAGUCUGUUAUUGGUGUAUAGAAAUGCUUGUGAUUUCUGCAAUUGAUUUUGUAUCCUGAGACUUUGCAGAAGUUGCCUAUCAGUUUCAGGAGAUUUGGGGCUGAGAUGAGAGGGUGUUCUAAAUAUACAAUCAUGUCAUCUGCAAAUAGAGACAAUUUGACUACCUCGUUUCUUAAUUGAAUACCCUUUAUUAUUUUUUCUUGCCUAGUUGCUCUGGCUAGAACUUCCAAUACUAUGUUGAAUAGGAGUGGUGAGAGAGGACAUCCUUGUCUAGUGCCAGAUUUCAAAGGAAAUGCUUCCAGGUUUUGCCCAUUCAGUAUAAUAUUGGCUGUAGGUUUGUUGUAAAUAGCAUUUAUUGUUUUGAGAUCUAUUCCUUCAAUACCUAGUUUAUUGAGAGUUUUUAGCAUCAAGGGCUGUUGAAUUUUGUUGAAGGCCUUCUCUGCAUCUAUUGAGAUAGUCAUGUGGUUUUAGUCUUUGGUUCUGUUUAUGUGGUGGAUUAUGUCUACAGACUUGUGUAUGUUGAACCAGCCUUGCAUCCCCGGGAUGAAGCCUAUUUGAUCGUGAUGGAUAAGCUUUUUGAUGUGCUGUUGCUGUCAAUUAGCCAGUAUUUUAUUAAAGAUUUUUGCAUCUGUUGUCAUCAUGGAUAUUGGCUUGAAGUUUUCUUCUUUUGUUGAAUUUCUGCUGGGUUUUGUUAUCAGGAUGAAGUUGGUCUCAUAAAAUGAUUUGGAUUCCCUCUUUUUGGAAAGGAUUCCCUCUUUUGGGAAAGGAUCCCCUCUUUUUGAAACUAUUACAAAUAGUUUCAGAAGGAAUGGUACCAGUUCCUCUUUGUACAUCUGGUAGAAUUCAGCUGUGAACCCGUCUGGACCUGGACUUUUUUUGGUUGGUAGGCUAUUAAUUGCCCCUCAACUUCAGCCCUUGUUAUUGGUCUAUUCAAGUUUUCAACUUCUUCCUGGUUUGGGCUUGGGAGGGUGCAAGUGUCAAGGAAUUUACAAUUUCUUCCAGGUUUACUGGUUUAUGUACAUAGAGUUAUUUGCAGUAGUCUCUGAUUGUAGUUUGUAUUUUUGUGGAAUCAGUGGUGAUAUCCCCUUUAUCAUUUUUUUAUUGCCUCUAUUUGAUUCUUCUCUCUCUCUCUGUCUUUUUUUUUUUUUUAAUUAAUCUGGCUAGCAGUCUAUCUAUUUUGUUGAUCUUUUUAAAAAACCAGCUCCUGGAUUUAUUGAUUUUUUUGAAGGGUUUUUUGUGUCUCUAUCUCCUUCAGUUCUGCUCUGAUCUCAGUUAUUCCUUGUCUUCUGCUAGCUUUUGAGUUUUUUUGAUCUUGCUCUUUUAGCUCUUUCCAUUUUGAUGAUAGGAUGUCAAUUUUAGAUCUUUCCUUGCUUCUCAUGUGGGUAUUUACUGCUAUAAAUUUCCCUCUGGACACUGCUUUAAAUGUGUCCCAGAGCUUCUGUCACGUUAUAUCUUCAUUCUUAUCGGUUUCAAACAACACCUUUAUUUCUUCCUUCAUUUCAUUGUUUAUCCGGUGGACAUUUAGGAGCUAGUCAUUCAGUUUCCAUGAAGCUGUGCAGUUCUGAGUUAGUUUCUUAAUACUGAGUUCUAAUUAUAUUGCCCUGUAGUCUGAGAGACUGUUUGUUAUGAUUUCCAUUCUUUUGCAUUUGCUGAGGAGUGACUUACUUCCAAUUAUGUGGUCAAUUUUAGAGUAGGUGCAAUGUGCUGCUGAGAAGAAUGUAUAUUCUGUGGAUUUGGGGUGGAGAUUUGUGUAGAUGUCUAUUAGGUUCGCUUGGUCCAGAUCUGAGUUCAAGUCCAGGAUAUCCUUGCUAAUUUUCUGUCUUGAUCUGUCUAAUAUUGACAGUGGAGUGUUAAAUUCCACUAUUAUUGUGUGGGAGUCUAAGUCCCUUUGUAGGUUAUUAAGAACUUGCUUUAUGUACCUGGGUGCUCCUGUAUUGGGUGCGUAUAUAUUUAUGAUUAGCUCUUCUUGAUGCAUUGAUCCCUUUACCAUUAUGUAAUAUCCUUCUUUGUCACUUUUAAUCUUUGUUGGUUUAAAAUCUAUUUUAUCAGAGACUAGGAUUGCAACUCCAGCUUUUUUUUUGCUCUCCAUUUGCUUGGUAAAUCUUCCUCCAUCUCUUUAUUUUGAGCCUAUGUGUAUCCUUGCACAUGAGAUGGGUUUCCAGAAUACUGUACACCAAUGGGUCUUGACUUUUUAUCCAAUUUGCCAGUCUGUGUUUUUUGAUUGGGGCUUUUAGCCCAUUGACAUGUAAGGUUAAUAUUGUUAUGUGUGAAUUUGAUCCUGCCAUUUUGUUGCUAGCUAGAUGGGUAACAUUAGUUUUUUUCAUUGUGUUGAUGGUCUUUACCAUUUGGUAUGUUUUUGGAAUGGCUUGUACUGGUUAUUCCUUUCCUUGUUUAGUGCUUCUUUCAGGAGCUCUUGUAAGGCAGGCCUGGUAGUGAUGAAAUCUCUCAACAGUUGCUUGUCCAUAAAGGCUUUUCUUUCUCCUUUGCUUUGAAGCUUGGUUUGGCUGGAUAUGAAAUUCUAGGUUGAAAGUUCUUUUCUUUAAGGAUGUUGAAUAUUGGCCCCCACUCUCUUCUGGCUUGUAGGGUUUCUGCGGAGAGAUUGCUGUGAGUCUGAUAGGCUUCUCUUUGUGGGUAAACUGACCUUUCUCUCUGGCUGCCCUUAGCAUUUUUUUCUUCAUUUCAACCCCGGUGAAUCUGAGGAUUAUGUGCCUUGGGGUUGUUCUUCUUGAGAAAUAUGUUUGUGGUUUUCUCUGUAUUUCCUGGACUUGAAUGGUGGCCUGGUUUGCUAGGUUGGGGAAGUUCUGGAUAAUAUCCUGAAGAGCAUUUUCCAGCUUGGAUUCAUUGUCUCCAUCACAUUCAGGCACACCAUCAAAUGUAGAUUAGUUCUUUUCACAUAAUCCCAUAUUUCUUGUAGGCUUUGUUUUCACUCUUUUUUCUCUAUUGCCUUCUCGUUUUAUUUCAUUGAAUUGAUCUUCAAUCUCUGAUAUCUUUUCUUCUUGGUCAAUUCAGCUAUUGAAACUUGUGUAUGCUUCACGAAGUUCUCAUGCUGUGUUUUUCAGCUCCUUCAAGUUAUUUAUAUUCUUCUCUAAGCUGUUUAUUCUAGUUAGCAUCUUAUCUAACCUUUUUUCUAGGUUCUUAGUUUCUUUACAUUUGGUCAGCACAUGUUCUCUUAGCUCUGAAAAGUUUGUUAUUAUCUACCUUCUGAAGCCUGUUUCUGUCAACUCAUCAGAUUCAGUCUCUAUCCAUCUUUGAUCCCUAGCUUGUGAGGAGUUAUGAUCCUUUGCAGGAGGAGAGGCAUUCUGGUUUUUGGUGUUUUCAUCAUUUUUGCGCUGGUUUCUUCCUGUCUUAGUGGCUUUAUCUACCUGUGAUUUUUGUAGUUGGUGACUUUAAGAUGGGGUCUCUGAGUGGAGAUCCUUUUUGUUGAUAUGAAGUUAUUUCUUUCUGUUUCUUAGUUUUCCAAUAGUCAGGCCCCUCUACUGCAGGACUGCUGGAGUUCCACUCCAGACCCUACUUGCCUGGGGAUCACUCAGGGUGGCUGCAGUACAGUGAUGGUUGCUGCCAGUUUCUUCUGUUAUCUUCCUCCCAGAAGGGUAAAUGCUAGAUGUCAGCCUGAGCUCUUCUUUAUGAGGUGUCUCUUUGGGUAUACAGUGGUUGGGGAGCUGCUUGACGAGACAGUCUAUCCCUUAUAGGAGUUCAAGUGCUGUGCUGGGAGCUCUGUUGUUCUGUGCAGAGCUGCUGGGCAGGUACUUUUAAGUCUGCUGCAAUGGAACUUGUAAUGACCUCUUUUCCCAGGUGCUCUGUCCUAGGAAUAUCAGCUUUAUUUAUAAGUUCCUGUCAUGCUGCUGCCUUUUUUCAUAGAUGCCCUGUCCUGUAUGGAGUAGUCUAAUCACAGUCUGCCAGCAGAGGUGUUGCUGAGCUGCAGCAGGUUCUGCCCAGCCACUGUGUGAACUGACUCAGUAGUGGUGGUCGCCCUUCCGCCCACUGAGCUGGACCAUCCUGGGUCCAGCUGCACUUGCUGUGAAACUCUCAAUCCAGAGCAUUUCAGAUUACUUGGUUUGUGGGGGUGGUACCCACCAAGCCAUAUCUCCUGGCUUCCUGUCUCUGCCCCCUGCCUUUCAGUUGAAUGGGUGGCUCUGUUUCCUAGGUGUUCCAGGCGCCAGUUGAAAUGGCCACACAGAUUUGUGUCAGUCUCUGUACGCCAACCUGUCACUGGCUGAAACCACUGUGCUUAAAACUCAUGCCGUGGGAAUCUCCUGGUCUGUGGGCAGUGAAAAUUUGUUUGGAAACACAGUGGGCACUCACCCUCUGCAUUUUUCUUGCUGGGAACUGCACUCCAGAGCUGUUCUUAUUUGGCCAUCUUGGAUCCUCCCUAAAAUUUAACAAUGAAUUUGUGUACUUUGUAGGGACAUGGAUGAUCCUGGAGAACAUCAUUCUCAGCAAACUGACACAAGAACAGAAAAUGAAAUACCACAUGUUCUCACUCAUAGGCGGGUGUUGAAGAAUGAGAACACAUGGACACAGGGAGGGGAGCACUACACACUGGGGUGAAUAGGGGAGGGACAGCGGGGGGUGGGGAGUUGGGGAGAGAUAGCAUAGGGAGAAAUGCCAGAUAUAGGUGAAGGGGAGGAAGGCAGCAAAUCACACUGCCACGUGUAUACCUAUGCAACUAUCUUGCAUGUUCUUCACAUGUACCCCAAAACCUAAAAUGCAAUAAAAAAGAUUAUUUUCAAUUGAAUAAAAUGAUAAAAGAAGUAAAACUUUUAAGGUUUUUUUUAAUGGGACAAACCUGGUUUUUUUAUUUUAAUGCUUCCACAGUAAACAAUGUUAGUAAUGCGGUGUCUGUAUGUAUAUCUGACAAUCUCUCUUGUUCUGACUACCAGGGACCCUCAGAGAGGGCCAGUAAAUAACAUCACCUUUUCCCCCACUCAGUUAUGAGCAUAUAAGGACUAAGACAAAAACAUGGGUGACAAGGAGAAAAUGUGGCCUCUGUUAAUGAUGGAAGCCAGAUGGGAGGCUUUGCUUAGUGGGAGAAGCACAAGGACCUGCAAACUAGGUUCAUUAUUAGGCAGACUCAGCCUCUCAGUCAGGAGUGAUGCUGACCAGGAUGGUUCCCUAGUUCCCAAUGUCAGGGAGGGUGGUCCUGCCCAGGGGACACUUAGGCUUGGAAGCAGAGGAGAAUUCUGCUUCUUUGGCAAUUUGCCCCCAGAAGGACAAAAAGGAGAAAUUGAGUAAAGCAGGAAAGAAAUUGAGCACAGCAGGAAAUUUAUCCUUACUAAAUUUAUCCAUCAGAAAAUCAUUCCUCCCCAAGGAGGAAGAAAUUGAGUCAAGUGAUGCCAGGUGGUUUAGGAAAGAUGUGUAGUCAUGGAAACUGAAGGGGUGGGAGAAAAGGUGCCUUUGGGCCUUUGGCUAUCACUGACCUCUUAAUAAUCUCCAAUAAAUAGUGUUCAUAUUACCAAUGAAAGCACAUGAGCAUUGCUCAUUAUAAAGUCACUUCUAAUCAAAGUACAUGCAUAUAUUCACAAGUUGUAUGUACAGUGCAUUAAUAUCUCUUUAUGUAGACGUGGAUAUUUUGUCUGUUUCUCUUAAUGGCAUUCCAGGGACCACUGUUUUCUGUCCAGGGACACCUGAGACCAGAAUCCUCAGGGUAAUUGAUUCACAUGUUGAUUUUUCUGGUUCUACUUUUACAUUCUCAUCUUGGAAUCACACCAGUACUUUGUAGUUUAUACAGGCACCCAAUUGAUCAUGAGGCAAUUUAGGUUUAUGAAACACUAAUGGAAAUGGAGUUAUCUAUAUCAAUUUCCCUUUCUUUUUUUAACAUCUGUGUGUGUUCCAAAUGCACAUUCUUUUUCAUUUCCUGUGGCAGUUUGAAUUGUUACCUCUGUUGAGUUUUGGGGCUUUUUCAUUCUUCACAAGAGAUCAGUGUAUUCAUUUCUCAAAACCAUAAGCUUCUUUUAAACUCUCAGAAAUCAGGCCUUUUUGCAUAGAGUCAUAAUUGGUGACAGAACAUCAGGAUGGAGGUUGGAUAAAGUUAGAUAGCUUUUUAAUUCAGGAGGUUUUCUUUAUUUGAUCUACCUCCCAGAGAUUUUUUAUAACAUUCCUUUUUUUGUUAAAUAAUUCAAAAAUAAAGAGAAUUUGUUCUUACACAUUUUGCGAUUUGCCUUGCAUAUUAUUUUUGAAAAAUAUAGAAGGGCCAGACGCGGUGGCUCAAGCCUGUAAUCCCAGCACUUUGGGAGGCCGAGGUGGGUGGAUCACGAGGUCAAGAGAUCUAGACCAUGUCGGUCAACAUGGUGAAACCCUGUCUCUACUAAAAAUACAAAAAAUUAGCUGAGCAUGGUGGUGCAUGCCUGUAAUCCCAGCUACUCAUGAGGCUGAGGCAGGAGAAUUGCCUGAACCCAGGAGGCGGAGGUUGCGGUGAGCCAAGAUAGUGCCAUUGCACUCUAGCCUGGGUAACAAGGGCGAAACUGCAUCUCAAAAAAAAAAAAAAAAAGAAAAGGAAAGAAAAAGAAAAAUAUAGAAAAAAUAAAAUUUUUUACUGAACUGUUAAGUUUUAUUUUACUUUUCCUUGGGCCUUUUGUUUUCGUCUUAGGAGUUCAUAUAUAAUUAUAAAGUGGCAAAGCAAUAGAAAAUAUCCUCCAUAUUCAGAAAGUUAGUAAAUAAGCAAACAUUUAAGAGCAUCCCUCAUUCAUGAAAUAAGUUAUACCAAGGUGCCGAAUGUAAAAUACAAAAACUUUGAUAUAAGUGCCUCCUACUCGUGAUCAGUCUCCAAUGUCUUACUGGACACUUCCUUGAUCUUUCCAUUUAAAACUGCACACCUGUUACCCCUUCUUCCAGGACUCUCUGGCUCCCUUUCUUUUUUCUUCAUAGUACCCCAUUACCUUCUAAUAGACUGAUUUUCUUUAACAUCCAUUUGGUUGUUGUUUACAUUUCUGCUUCACGAAUGGAUUCCUAGCACCUAAAACAACACCAGCACUUUGUAGGUGUUCCAUAUUCAUUGAAUGAAUGAAUAUGUUUUCAUCAGAGUUUAAUGGGUGGUCACCCCUGCUAAAUGGGGUCCUUCUUAGGAUGAGGGGAUUGCCUUGCAUAGAUUUCCAUUCCUUGCAAAGUUCCUUGUGUGAGUUCCCACUCCCUGUGCAUGUGGUGAAAUCUUUUCUCAUGCAUUCUCUGCCAGACUGGGCACAGGAGGCAGAGCAGGGACAAGAGCCCAGUGUCCGUGAGCAGAAGGCGAGAAGAGGCAGCUAAUGGCAUUUUCAGAAAAUAAGAAAUAGCAGAUUUUUUGCUGUUUUCCAGGCUGUGCCUAAUUUUGUUGAUGUGCUUCUGAAGAAAAUCAUUUAAUACAAACCUGGCUAACCAUAUCCACCUCUUCUUGCUUGAAUUCUUUUUUAAAAACUCUGAGGGCAUAAGCAUGCCUACAGAUACUUUUGACUCCUUUUAAAAUACCUUAGGAAAAUAAAGGGAGACUUAUUGAAGACACUCCAAUUUGGGAUAGGGGUGCAUUCAAACUCAGCCCCUGAAUACAAGUGUUUAUCAUAUGUGCUCCUCAUUUCAUUCUAUCUGAAGAACUAAAAAAUAUGCAAAAAAUAAACACUUUAGAAGUAUUUAUUUGUUAUGGAACUUUUCUUAUUUUUUAUGUACAAUUACAGUCUGUCUACUCUAUGCCUGAUAUCAAGCCAGACAAUGGUGAUAUUAAAAAAUGAAAUAAUAGCAAACACUUAACUGAGCCUGGUGCUUGGCGCUUUUCAAAGUACUUUAUAUCUUAUUAUCUUUUAAUCCUUACAAUAAAUCAAAGAAGUGGAUAUUCCCAUUUUCCUCAUCUUACAAAUUAUACUAAAGAUGGCACCCAAGGUUACACAGCUGUGAAAUCAGGGUUUGAGCAUAAGUUAAUAAUAAGCCCCUUGCAGAGCUCAUUAUUAGCAACCACAUCCAAUUCCAUUAAAGAUAAGGUUUCUGUGCUGAAGGGUUCAAGGUGGGAACAGAGAUACACAAACAGAAACCUCAUAAAAUGCGAUGAUAGUGGUGCGAUUGAAACAAAAGAUAAAGCAACUAACUCUGUUUACUGGAGCUGGGGAAAGCAUCAGUGAGAGUGUGUGUGUCCCGAGAUUCUAGGGAUGAUUAAAGGUGAAAAAUACCUGGGAAAGAAGGAGGGAAAUGUUAAUAAUCAGUCUCCUCCGUGAAUUAGCAUAUACGAGCUUCCAACAGUUGUCAUCAUACCCUUUCUUGCAGAUACCAUUUCAGUAUUUGGAGCCAAGCCUUAAACCUGUGUCACUGUCUGAAACCACAGCAAGUUAAGUGCUAAGUACACAUCAUUAUAGGAUAGCAAUUGUAAUAACAGAAGACAGUAAACACAUGCUGCUAAAGGCAAUUAUUUCAAAGUACAGUCAUUUAUUUUGACUACCUGUAGUCAGCGGCCAACAGGUGAACCAUGUCACCCAUUUGGCCUGUGACUAUCCUCUGUUAUGCUGUUCUUGGAUAGUGGCUUUAAUGCCCAUGAAAAAUACCUUAAUUUCUAAUCUUCCUUCCCUCUUCAGUGUUACCGACUGAACUCCCUCCAGCAGGCGGUAAAUGGAACCUUUUCCAUCUGGCCAAAGUAAUAAUUUAGAGAUUUAUAUACACCUACUGAUUUCAACAUGCUCUGUGAUGGUUGGAUUUCAAUUUUGCUUGACAUCCCACAGAUGUAAAGGAUUAAUCCCCAGUGCUGUACUCAGAAACAUCAAUUUUUUCAUAGGCUGUGCAUGUUCAUCAGUUUACUCUCCUGGUAAGAAGGUGUCUGCCACUGCUGGUAUUCAUGCUGGCGAAAACCAACACACCUCUUCCAGGCACUGUUUGAUGUCAAAGAUAUAAAGCUUCUUGGCAGCUACAGAUAUUUUCUAAUCUAGCUUAUUUUAGAGGCUUGCAUUAUCUCCCAAAUGGUAGAACUCCUUAAGUGUUCUGUAACAAAUGCCUAGGAACAAUGUUACUACUUACUUCCACAAAAUAAGUGAUAUUUAGGAAUAUGAUUAACCUAUGAAAGUCUCUGUUUCUAAGUUUAGUUGAAAGUUCUUCUAUGUAUAAUGCUACUUCCACUGAACUCUGCCUAAAGGGAAACCACACUUCAUGUGUUCAUCAGUUUUUAUUAUAAAGAAAUAGGAAAAAAAAGCCUGUGUUUUAUUUUACCCUCCAGAGGAAUCUGUAACUCUCCAAACUUACUCCACAGCGUGAAGUCAUUAGAAAGCACAUAGAGGGUUUCUAUUGCCCUUCGACUUUAGCAGAAGUCUUCCUUUUCCAUGUAUUUAUCCAUUAAGCACCCCAAUUUCUAGGUGAAGGAAUAAGUACAGUGGUAGAUUUUGCAGAAUUAGCUUCGGAUUUGUGUUCUCCCAAAGAGGAACUUCACUAGCCGUUAGAAACUUUACCUACCACAUCCUCUGAGCCAUAAAGGUGAAUCUCCUCAGUCUGGUGAAUUUCCCAGGAGGCCUUUCUAUCACACUUCUGAUAAACUUUCCCAUGAAAACUUACUGAGGAAGGUUACUAAGGAAACAAGAGACCCAGGUAGUAGCAAUUCGUACCAAGGUUAACAAAAUGUACAAAUGUAAUUUUGGCCAGACUCAAUGAUUUGAAUGAUUUUUUCAGAAGAUGGAGUUAAGACUCAUUUCACAAGUAUCUCAUAGGAGCACUCCUGGUCAAACACCUGCCUUCUGUCUUUUGCGCUAUCAAGGCUGUACUUCUGAAGGGAUGUGAGGCUGGAAAGCAGAGAAUACCAUGAGAAGAGCCAAAGCUAUCUCCUAUCACAUGUGCAAAUUAAACCAUUAUUUUUAGAUAAUUCUAUAUUUUGUCAGUUUGGUGAUUAAAUUACAAUGAUUAAUGUUCUUAAUAUACAGUGUGAUUAGCGUACUUAAAAUAACUAUAAUAGUAUCCAAAGUGGCUUCCACAUGCAUCUCCUUAUUUGACCGCAUUCGCGGCAGACAAGGCACAGCUCUUUAUGGAUAUCUGAAGGUCAUGGACACUUAAAUGAAUGAGUGUAAACAGCUUGUUUCAGGUCAUAUGGCUGCUUUGUGAGGAG